rnacentral:rRNA from 1 species
GACAGAGGGUGCAAACGUUGCUCGGAAUUACUGGGCGUAAAGCGCGUGUAGGUGGAUUGGUGUGUCAGAUGUGAAAUCCCUGGGCUUAACCCAGGAACUGCACCUGAAACUACCAGUCUUGAGUGGUGGAGAGGGAAGUGGAAUUCCUGGUGUAGAGGUGAAAUUCGUAGAUAUCAGGAGGAACACCAGUGGCGAAGGCGGCUUCCUGGACACCAACUGACGCUGAGACGCGAAAGCGUGGGGAGCAAACAGG